GGGGAAGUAGCUCAGUUGGUAGAGCGUCGCGUUCGCAACGCGGAAGUCGAGGGUUCAAGUCCCUUCUUCUCCACCA
rnacentral:tRNA from 1 species